rnacentral:rRNA from 1 species
CGGCGUGCCUAAUACAUGCAAGUCGAACGCAUUGUGUUGAAUGAUAUGAAGAACUUGUUCAGAUUUGAUUUUCAACAUUGCAAUGAGUGGCGAACGGGUGAGUAACACGUGGGAAACCUACUCUUAGCAGGGGAUAACAUUUGGAAACAAAUGCUAAUACCGUAUAAUAAUUAAAACCGCAUGGUUUUAGUUUAAAGAUGGUCUUGCUAUCACUAAGAGAUGGUCCCGCGGUGUAUUAGUUAGUUGGUGAGGUAAUGGCUCACCAAGACAAUGAUACAUAGCCGAGUUGAGAGACUGACCGGCCACAAUGGGACUGAGACACGGCCCAUACUCCUACGGGAGGCAGCAGUAGGGAAUCUUCCACAAUGGACGAAAGUCUGAUGGAGCAACGCCGCGUGUGUGAUGAAGGGUUUCGGCUCGUAAAACACUGUUGUAAGAGAAGAAUGACAUUGAGAGUAACUGUUCAAUGUGUGACGGUAUCUUACCAGAAAGGAACGGCUAAAUACGUG